rnacentral:rRNA from 1 species
GACGAACGCUGGCGGCGUGCUUAACACAUGCAAGUCGAGCGGAGCGGCGAACGGGUGAGUAACGCGUGAGUAACUGCCCCCCUCCCUGGGAUAACAGUUGGAAACGGCUGCUAAUACCGGAUAGUGGGGGAUGACUCGCGUCCUAUCAGCGUGUUGGUGGGGUACUGGCCUACCAAGGCGACUACGGGUAGCCGGCCUGAGAGGGCGACCGGCCACAUUGGGCUGAGAUACUGCCCAAACUCCUACGGGAGGCAGCAGUGGGGAAUAUUGCACCAUGGGGGAAGCCCUGAUGCAGCAACGCGCGUGCGGGAUGACGGCCUUCGAGUUGUAAACCGCUUUCAGCCAUGACGCGGUAAUAGCAGAAGAAGCACCGGCUAACGACGUGCCAACAGCCGCAGUAGUUC